CCUGAAUAAGGGAGAUGUAAACACAGAUUUUAGUACCACUCCUAACAUGGCCACCUUUCAGCUCAGAGGGAGACGCACCCCAUACAAGUUGGAAGCGGUCCCCGGAAUGCGCCUGGGUGGAGCAGCACCCCACCCAGUGCCCAUUCACACCAAAUCAUCAGUCCUCCAAUUUCAAAACUUGGCAUUAGAAAAAAUUUUUUAAAAGUUUAUUUAUUUUGAGAGAGAGACAGAGUGAGCAGGGGAGGAGCAGAGACAGAGGGGGAGAGAGAAUUCCAAAGGCUCUGUGCCCAACCUGGGGCUCAAACUCAUGAACCAUGAGCUCAUGACCUGAACCGAAAGCAAGAGUCAGAUGCUUAACUGAGCCACCCAGGUGUCCCUCCCAGCACUUUUCAAACCACAGAUCCCUUUUAUUUUCUGUCUAAUCCCUACUGAGAACUCAUGAAUCAAAAUUUUAAAAAUAUGCUUUUCUACAUAACAGUUUUUGGUCUAAAAAAGUAGCGGUAUUUAUAAUUUGCAGCUGAAUACAUAUUCAUGUCCAUGGAAUGCAAAUGUCCAUGGAAGCAAACUUCUGUGGUGGCUGUUUCUGGGUGUGGGUUUGAAUGAUUGUCCAUUUUCUUCCACAUGGUAUUUGGCCCUUUCCAAAUUUUUCGGUUAAUACCCAAACUUAUUCUAGGCAGGGGGAGGAACAUGAGGUUUGAAGCUUUCACUGAAUAUCCGAACUGUACCGCAUGACUCAUUUCUUUGAACAUUAAGCCAUACUUUCCAGUAUAACAGAAAAUAGGCGUAUGAACUCCAUGACCCUUCUGGUAAGCCACUUUCAGGACAAAAAAAACAAUGGUCCAGAACAAUUAUAAACUUCAUAAUAGAGACCCAAAGGAACCAUCUGUCCUGAUCCCAGGGAAAGAAGAACACACAGAGCCCCUGGCCCUCUUACCUUUCCUUUCAAGGUGUUUAAGGUCUGACAUCCUGGUUUUGCUCUCUAGCUUUAAAAUGCAACCCCCACUCACCUGAGUGCUGAGGUUCAAAAGAAGAGAAGGCCUACAGUCUUUUUCCCGUCAGCUCCACUAUCAAAGAGUUGAGUAUUUAUUACUGUCUGCACCGAAAAGGAGGGUGGUGUAACUCUUCAAAAUGGCCCGAAUGGGGACACGUGGUCAAUAGUGAAAAUCCUAUCCGAAAAUCUUUCAUUCAGGUGCUGUUUAUUCUGACCAAAAGGAGAUCUAAGGGGGGUGUGUUUAUUUGCUCUCCUCUGACAGAUACUUGAAUUUCACAGAAGAAAAUGACACAGGGGACUCUAAUCAGUUUGCCAGCAGUUGUUUUGUGGUAUCGAUAUAAACAUUUUCUCCAGCCAAACUAGGUGCUGAACAAUUACAGUCUCCUCAAGAGCCCAAGGUCAGUGUUUCUCAGGGCUGAGUGUGCUCCUAAAUGGAGACUUCACCAGGGUGUUGACUGAGGGUCAGGAAAACCUAUCAGGAUCUUCCGUCUGAGGACGACAAGGCAUCUUUGAGAUUUUGGAAACAGAAAAUUUCUGUUGGCUGCAGAUGUUGUGCAUGUGCAGAAAAGAGCCCUCAGUAACCCUAAGGCAGUCCUGGUGCUCUGGAGCCCAUGAGUUACGCAUGCUGGGAGACGCCGGGCUCAACUCACCCAUCCCUGCACCCCAACCCCCGACCUGGUGCUCACCACCCAGCAAUGCAAACUAACCGUCUGGACAGUGGAAACCACGAAUGAUUCUUCAGUGUCCAGGUCACUAAACACAGGUGUUAUGAAUAGAUGUCUUUUCAUGGUAUGAAAUUUUCCUGGCUAUAUUUUAAUUAAAUUUCCAUUAAGGAAUCCAUACGAUUUAUUUUAUGAAUUUAAAAAAUUUUUAAGUUAUUCAUCUUGAGAGAGAGAGACCUAGCAUGAGUGGGGGAGGGGCAGAGAGAGAGUGAGAAAGAAUCCUAAGCAGGCUCCGUGCUGUCAGCACAGAGCCCGGCGUAAUGCUCUAAGUCAUGAAACCACAAGAUAGGACCUAAGCCCAAACCAGAGUUGGACGCUUAACUGAUUGAGCCAUGCAGGUGCCCCUGAGUACAUAUUUUUUAAAUGGAUGUUUUUAUUUUUUUAACAGAAAAGGAAAAGCCCAGCUUCCUACUUUCAGGCAGAGACAGUGUUAUCUCCAUCUAAAUAUGUGGUGUCCCAGUGUCCCAGAGAAGGCCAUGCCAUGGUCAUGGUCUUGCCUGCAAAGCAGCUGUUAAGCAGAGCCUAGGAAGCAGAACUGAAGUUUCCAUCCCUCGGUACUCAACUUUACGAUGAGCCAAGACACUGGCUUAUUCAGGAGAAACAUUCACUCUGGGCUUAGAAUCCUGAAGCUAACUAAAUUUUAAUAAAACUCAAUUAAAAAAAAACAAA